ensembl:lncRNA
CCCCGCGGCGCCGGGAGGAGCGCUGGGCAGAAGGACCCGCGGACCGGCUCCGAUCGGCUGCGAGGUGGCUGCUGGCGCGAGGCGGAAGACGCCUGGGACGGCGGGCUGGGGAGGAAGAGGCGCUCGGCUGCCGGGCCCCGUGCUGGCUGUGUGGUGAGGCCCGACGGCAGACAGCGAGUCUGGGCUGCGUGCUUCCUGGGCGGCUGUGACAGACACAGAUUGCCGGGACUGCCCGAGACCUUGGUCAUUCUUUGACCACUGCUGUUGGGUAGGUUUUGUGUGGGGUGCUUUGUAAGACUCACCCCCACCCACCCCCAGAACCUCCUUCUGUUUUGGAAGGUGAGCCCUGGGAGCCUCCAGGACUCAGGUGAAGCUCCUGCAGACCCUUCCCACCAUCCGGGAGGUCUGGAUGGCCCUUCUGCGCUGGCAGGGCACGCGGCCAGCCUCGCUGUGGCCACAGGCCUCCUGCGUUUGCUCCGGGCUGCGCUCAGGGCGUGUGGGCACUGCAUGUGUCACCAUCACAGGCUCUGCAUCCCAGUGCCAAGCCCAGCCCUGGCACAGCUGCACUCACAGCUGAGUGGCAGUUCAUCCACCCGGCGGCUCAGUCCUGGGCUGGGCACCUGCGUCUGCUUCCGCGCCGUCCCUCAGUGUAGGGAACCCAUCAGCUCCUGCGGUCAUGGGUACUUCUGCAGGUCAGGCCUGGGGCUUGGGGAAGAAAACAGUGACUAGUGCAACAAUGGAAGCGGGGUGAAGAUGCAGCAGAGUGACGGGUUGACUGCAGGGGACCUGAGGAGGCAACGUUUAAGCUGGGAUCUGAGCUGCAGGAAGGAAGGAGGUAUGCUGAGAUCUUGUGAAGAACUUUCCAGACAGAAGGCACAGCUGACAGAAAGGGGCACAACGAUGAGGUGGCAGAUCGGGGCUGGCAGAGCUUUUCUGUGAAGGGCCAGAGAGUCAGGGUUUCAGGCUUUGAGGGCCACGUGAUCCCUGGAGCAGCUAUUCUGCCGUUUCGUGGAAGAGCAGCCACAGACAAUAUGCAAGUAAAUGUGCUCUGUUUCCACAAAACUUUGCUGACAGACCCUGAAACUUGAAUUUCACGUGAUACUCAUGUGUCACCAAGUAUUCUUUUUCUUUUAAUUUGUUUGCCAAUCAUUAAGGUCAAAACCAUUUUCAGCUCAUGGGCCAUGCCAAAACAGACAGUGGGGCAGUUUGCCAGCCCCUGUGCCAGACACCAAAAGCGCUGUGUCUUAGUUCAUUGAAUCCUCAUAAGAACUUAUAAGGAAGGUACUAUUAUUCCAUUUACAGAUGAGGAAACUGAUUUCUUCAGAGGUCAAGAAACUUGACCAGUGCCCUCAGCUCCUGGCACUUUAAACCCAGAGUGUGGUUCCCGAGCUCAGCUUCCAGCCUCUGUGAUAUGGAGCCGAGGUCCCUGAGGUGCAGGAAGCAGGCCAGUGCUGGAGUGGGUAGUGGAGAGGUAUGGGAGGAGGCAAGGCCAGGAGGGGCCCAGAUCAUCGGAGUUAGAGGCCAGGGGAAGACUUAGGUUGUAUACUUUUAUUUUUUUACAUCCGACUUUAUGGAGGUGUAGUUUACAUAUAAUAAAAGGCACCUAUAUAAAAUAAUUUGGUGGGUUGUGAUAGAUGUAUGCUCCUUGUAAACGCCACCACAAUCCAGACACAGAGCAUCUUCCUCAUCCCUGAAAGUCCCUUUCCCUGUGCCCAGUCCACGGUCCUCCCUGCCCCAGGCAACCACCGAUCUGCUUUUGUUUUUAUAGAUUCAUUGUCCCUGUUUUCUUUUCCUAGAAUUUCACAUAAGUGGACGGAUACAGGAUCAACACUUUUGUGUCUGACUUCCUUUCGCCAGACAGAACGUUUUGGAAAUUCAGAUUGCUGCAUGUCUCCAUGGUUCAUUGUUUUUCUUGCUGGACGGUUUGGUAUUCCAUUGUAUAGGUACACUGUUUACUCCAUACACACACCUGUUGAUGGACAUUUCGGUGCCUUCCAGUUUUUGGCUAUUGUGAAUAAAACUGCUGUGAAUAUUCAUGUUUACCAAUCUUUGUAUGGACAUACACUUUAUUUCUCUUGGGUUGAGAUGACAGAAGUGAUGGUUGAAGUACGUACUUGUAUUUCACUCUAUACAAAAAGUGCCACAACUGUUUUCUAAAAUGGGAAGUCAUAUCACAUUCCCAGUUGUUCUGUGUCCUUUUGUCAUUCUUUGGAAGUUGAGCCCUUCUUGUGAGUGUUGAU